rnacentral:lncRNA from 13 species
GUGCCUGGCACUGCCCUUGCUCCUAAGGAUCACCUCUGUCCACUGCAAGAGAAGGUCCAGGACUUGCAAAGGAGCUCACUGUCCACCCACGAGUCCUGCAGAGACAGAAAAGAGCAAGAGAGAAGAGAGUAGAGCCUUCGAGGAAGGAACAUUCUCCAGAUGAGAGGAGGAUAAAGUGCUGUGUCACUUUCUCCCCUAAAGGAAACUGUAUUCAUCAGGACUCACGAAGAAAAACUGUAAAAAAUCAACUGGGAUUACUUUAAACUAAAAAAGGACACGUAUCAUUCCUCUUAACUAAAAAGUUCAAGAAAGGGCUUUCAGGCAAGGCUGGAUCCAGGGGCUCCAAGGAGCUCCUCAGGACUCAAUCUUACGUUCACCAUCUGUUCAUUCUAUUAUCCUGCGUGGACUCCAUUUCAAGCCUGCAGCUCCCGGUUCAUAUCCUAGCCAUUUAGUAAUCCCAGUUAAGAAAAGUCACCUUGCUCAGGGCAGUCAGUUGUUCUGCAAAUGAAUACGUAAUUGUUCUGGCUGAGGGGCCUUGGGUCGCUGGCUGCCUCUGAGCCAAU